AAGUUCAUAACUCCUCAAUCAAGUCAACCAUUAAUUUCACAUAACGCAUAGGAAUCAGCCGCCUCAGCAAUCUCCUCCCCGUUGGAUCUGGUACCAGCAAGGUCCUCGAGGCUAAAAAUAAACCAUCGUCCAUAUGGGCAACUACAAUGACUGAAAAAUAUGUGGUCAUUAAUAUGGGCAGCAAGAAAAAUAUGGACAGAACUGGAAGGCUAACUCUAAAACCAAACUUAAAAUGGGAGCUAAUUAUUAAUGUGCUCUAAAUCCAUAUAAAAACUAAUAAUCAUUCUCUGUCUGAAAAUAAGUAACUUCCAUGAAUGGGGGAGGGGGUCUGUACCUAAAUGAAAUCAUUGCACACAACAGAGCAAAGCUGAUAUUGUUAUAAAAAAAGUACUUCUUGCUACAAGGACAAAACCAGGAAAGACCAUGUGCAAAAUAAAUUUUCUCGUCCAUCUAGCU
rnacentral:lncRNA from 1 species